UGCGUAGGCGGGCUAAUAAGUCAGUGGUGAAAUCUCUCGGCUCAACCGGGAAACUGCCAUUGAUACUGUUAGUCUUGAAUUCGGUUGAGGUAGGCGGAAUGUGUAAUGUAGCGGUGAAAUGCUUAGAUAUUACACAGAACACCAAUUGCGUAGGCAGCUUACUAGACCGACACUGACGCUGAGGCACGAAAGCGUGGGGAGCGAACAGGAUUAGAUACCCUGGUAGUCC
rnacentral:rRNA from 1 species